rnacentral:lncRNA from 1 species
CAGAAUCAGUUUCCUUUUCCAAAUCAUUCCCAUAAAACCAUAACCAGAUUCACAUCUAUUUGCUUUGAGGCAGUUAAUGCAUGCUAGAAACUAGAGCUAGAAAGAGGUCAUUCAGUGGUAACACUUGAGCCUGAACCAGGCCGGUGAAUUUUGGUAAGCAAACAAAGCAGCCUUAGUCUCAAAGUCCCACCAUACCUGAACUCUUACCCUUCAGUCAUAGACUCUCUUAAAUCAUUGCACUGGAUGGGGAGACACUGCUAAAAUUGCCCCUGCCUUCAUUAUGCUCCCCCUAAAAUAAUUUCCUUUAUUUUAUUACUCCUUCCUCCUUUCCUCUUUCCAUCCUCCCUUGGUUCUUUUUCCUUUCUUUUUCUGUUUUUGGUUUAUUAUUAGGUCAAAGUUUCUAAAUAAGGCUGUGGCUUUAUAGGUAGGGGGUAAUGUCAGGCUUCCUUUAGGCUCUAAUCUUAUUAUCUGGCAAAACUUCUACCUCCCAAAAGCUAUCUAACACAACUUUGCCUUAACUUUUGUUUUAUGUGUAGAAUUGCCUUUUCUAAUCUAAUGAAACUGUUCCAGUGUUCAGAAUUUUGGUCAUUCUUUAUUUCAGCCUACAGGCAAAAGAAGCCACUUUUAGCAAAUGUCUCUUUUUUUUUUCAACUUUCAGAUGAGCCGACUUCAGAAAAGGCUUUUAUUUUUUAGGACCUCAGUUAAAGCUGCAGAAUUAGCCAACACACUCAGCCAUGACAGCAUUUCCCUGCCUCAACUCUAAUUUUGCGGGUUCAGUAGAGACAAAAUCUGAGUCCCAUAGCGCAAUUAUCACAGAUUCACACUGUUUUCUAACACAUGAAGGUUCCCAGCUUCCACUGUUGAAGAAUGGGGGGAGGAGUCCCUACUAUCCUUUGCCCUAUCUCCUUAGUUCAGUUAAUUUACAUUUCAGGAUUGGUUACUCUCAAUCCCUGGUUCUCUGUACUAAAAUUCUAAAUAAUUUUAGAAGUUUUUGCUUGCAAGUCAUGGAUAGUUUACAUAACUGGAGAGUCCUUAGGGAGAUUUUAUAACUCCUACACAAAGCCUGAUGUUCAUUGUCAUUGUACUGGUGGAAGUCACAUUUCCAGCCCUAAAUACAUAACCUUGGCUAGGAGUUUGCUAACAAACUUAAACAAAUUCACAUGGGCUACUAUUUGGAGAUUGAAUAUAGUCAGUUUUCAAAUGGGGUCUCAUUGAGAAUUAGCUACAAUUUCUGAAGAAGAAGGGGACUUGGAAGCUUAGAAUUCAGCCAACAGAUAGACACUAUCUCUAUAAAUCAUUCUGAAUCUGAUAGAUGGUUUUAUAUAGUAUUUAACUCUCUUCCUUAGAAAAAGUCCAGAUGGUAUUUUAUAUCAGUUUUUAUUAAAAAUCAACUCCCUAUGGAAACUAAAGUGAUAAUAAAUAACCCUAGUGAAAAUAAUUUGUAAAUAUUAUGUAGCCACCAUACCAUUAAAAAAAAAAGAAACAAGAUUAUCUAGAGGCCAUGUGAAUUAAAUUGACGAUUAGUUUGUUUUCUUUGUCUUCUUUAGUAAAAUACCUUUGACUUGUAAAUCAUGUGUCACCGUAAUAUAAAUAUGGCAGUAUACAAAAUCUCUGACUAAAAGAGUUUAGAAAGUGCCUAAAGACUCAUUAGGGAGCUAUGUGUGAAAAGAUGGCUAUCCUUAAGAGGUCACUAAGUUGGCAAAGCUACAACUAUAAUCUCAACAAGCACUGGCUCUGAAAUAAGAAAUCUGAGUUUAAAACCCUCAACCAUUAUUUUAUAAUACAAAAAACAACUGUGGGUUAAAACAUAUUGCAUUAUUCUGCUAUAGGUAUUAAUACUUGGCCAGCAGAGUUGUGAAAAUUAACUGAUAAAAUUUAAGUGAAUUAACUUAGCAAACAACCUAAUACAUAUGUUGGUCCUCAAAAACUAGGAGUGAUUCAGUAACUUAUUGCUGUAAAAUAUUUUUGUUAGAUAUAGAAAUAAAAAGCAUUAAUGACAUUUAAUUAAUUCACUGCCAUUCUUACUGCUUCUUUAUUUUUUUUAUGAUCUGUGUAAAGCUGCUUCUCUUGUCUCCGACUCUGCACCCUUAUCUAUUUCUAUGGUAUUGGGAGAGUGCAAAUAAUGUUUCCCAGUUGAGUCAGAUUUAAAAAUCUUCCCUUGUUGAGCAUUUCAGACCGUUACGUGUGAUGUUGCCUUUAUAAUAUUAUCAAAUACCCUUGCUCAUCACAGCAGUCCUGGGUUUAUGACUCAACUAUUGUUUUCCAUUCAUACAUUUUAUUUUGCAUCUGAAAACUCAAAACCUCAGUUUUCCAUCCUUAGCUCAUGCCCUAGGGGGAGCCAAAAGCUAGUUGCUGAGAUCCCAGCCAGCCUGUUCCCUGUGUCACUCUUGUGUGCCUCAGAAAAAUCACACAAAAAAAAUAUAUUUGCUUUGUCAAAUAAGUCACAUUUGCUUCUGCUUUCAAGCUCAGGAAACUUUGUUUCAACAGGCUUUGUCCAGGAAUUGUAAUUAAAAAUAAAGCUCCAGAUAUAAUGAGUGGAUUCUUUUAAGUUCACUGUUCUCCCUCAUUACAUUUAUUGACUGUCUUCUUGUGUUUGCUUAUCUAUUUGUCCAACAGAUUUUAUUAAUUAUCUACUGUUUCCCAGAGAACAGACUGCAUACUGGUGAUAUAGUGGUGAGUCAAAAGAGACCUGUUAACUAUUCUUCCUGAACUUGCAUUGAUACCAUUAGUCAUUUCAAAAAGCAGGCUUUUUGGCAUAUGUAUCUGAUUUUUUCAAGGAUUUUAAAGGAUUCUAUUAUUUCUUCAUGAAUUCUUCAUGGAAGUUCUAAAAUACUUAUUUUAUUUGUAUAAACAUGAUUAAUGGAGCAUAUAUACAUUUGCUCUUGAUUAACAUGACCGUAUCCAAUUACAUUGCCUUCUGAUUCUUCAUUGGUCAGUGCUUUAGAAAAUCCCUCCAAUGGGAGGUCUAAUAUGGCAGAGUAGCAGACAUAAGUCUCAUCUACUUCCACAAAUACCCUGAAAAUACAAUUAUAUGUGCAACUCUUCACACAGAAAAUUUGUGAAAAACUGACAAAGUCCUCAAGAUUAUAAUAGAACGAGAAAAAUAUUACAAAACCAGAUAG